GACGAACGCUGGCGGCGUGCCUAAUACAUGCAAGUCGAACGGAGUGGCGCACGGGUGAGUAAUGUAUAGCUAAUCUGCCCUACACUAGAGGACAACAGUUGGAAACGACUGCUAAUACUCUAUAGUGUAUGAUGAGGCUAUAUUGUAUCAGCUAGUUGGUGAGGUAAUUGCUCACCAAGGCUAUGACGCAUAACUGGUCUGAGAGGAUGAUCAGGCAACCUUGAACUGAGACACGGUUCAGACUCCUACCGGCGGCAGCAGUAGGGGAUAUUGCUCAAUGGGGGAAACCCUGAAGCAGCAACGCCGGGUGGAGGAUGACACUUGUCAGAGCGUAAACUCCUUUUGUUAGGGAAGCGGUACCUAACGAAUAAGCACCGGCUAACUCCGUGCCAGCCGCCGCGGUAAUUC
rnacentral:rRNA from 1 species